CAACCCUUAAGCCUAGCUUAGUGUUGGGAAUCUACUGAAGCGGUAGCUACUCUGUAGCUUACCCUGUAGUUCCUUAAAUCCAGCGGCGGAGCGGCAGUGUCCUCUGAGCGUAGUAAUUUAUUCUCGCUUUUGUAGGUGCUGCUUCUAUAGCCGUUAAACCCCCAAUUUUUCAAUGG
rnacentral:misc_RNA from 1 species